rnacentral:rRNA from 1 species
UACGAAGGGGGCUAGCGUUGCUCGGAAUCACUGGGCGUAAAGGGUGCGUAGGCGGGUUUUUAAGUCAGAGGUGAAAUCCUGGAGCUCAACUCCAGAACUGCCUUUGAUACUGAAAGUCUUGAGUAUGGGAGAGGUGAGUGGAACUGCGAGUGUAGAGGUGAAAUUCGUAGAUAUUCGGAAGAACACCAGUGGCGAAGGCGGCUCACUGGACUGGUAUUGACGCUGAGGUGCGAAAGCGUGGGGAGCAAACAGG